UACGGAGGGGGCAAGCGUUGUUCGGAAUCAUUGGGCGUAAAGGGCGCGUAGGCGGCCGAUCAAGUCGGGUGUGAAAUCCCUCGGCUCAACCGAGGAACUGCACUCGAUACUGAUCGGCUCGAGUCCGGGAGGGGAUGGUGGAAUUCCCAGUGUAGCGGUGAAAUGCGUAGAGAUGGGGGAGAACACUCGUGGCGAAGGCGGCCAGCUAGACCAGUUCUGACACUGAGGCGCGACAGCGUGGGGAGCAAACAGG
rnacentral:rRNA from 1 species